ensembl:snRNA U6 U6 spliceosomal RNA
AUGCUGGCUUCGAUAGUACCUAUACUAAAAUUGGAAGAACACAGAGAAGACUAGCAUGGCCACUGUGUAAGGAUAAUGCAAAAAUUUUUGAAGCGUUCCAUAUUUUU